GAUGAACGCUGGCGGCGUGCCUAAUACAUGCAAGUCGAGCGAACAGACGAGGAGCUUGCUCCUCCGACGUUAGCGGCGGACGGGUGAGUAACACGUAGGUAACCUACCUAUAAGACUGGGAUAACUUCGGGAAACCGGAGCUAAUACCGGAUAAUAUUUCGAACCGCAUGGUUCGAUAGUGAAAGAUGGCUUUGCUAUCACUUAUAGAUGGACCUGCGCCGUAUUAGCUAGUUGGUAAGGUAACGGCUUACCAAGGCAACGAUGCGUAGCCGACCUGAGAGGGUGAUCGGCCACACUGGAACUGAGACACGGUCCAGACUCCUACGGGAGGCAGCAGUAGGGAAUCUUCCGCAAUGGGCGAAAGCCUGACGGAGCAACGCCGCGUGAGUGAUGAAGGUCUUCGGAUCGUAAAACUCUGUUAUUAGGGAAGAACAAACGUGUAAGUAACUGUGCACGUCUUGACGGUACCUAAUCAGAAAGCCACGGCUAACUACGUG
rnacentral:rRNA from 1 species